AAGAGAACACCCCAGAUCGCUACUUCCUUAGGAUUCCACUCCCUCUGACACUGUAACCGGAGUGGCAUUCCAGGAAGGGUUUGGGAGCCAAGCGCGCAGGGGACUUCUCCUGCAGCAUGUUGGUGAAUGCGAGCAAUAUGUCCUAAAAGAAAAAGAGCUUAUUGUUAGGCUAAUACGUAACACUGAAGAAUACUCUCAUGGUUCAAAUCUUGACGUAAAUACUCCAAGGACUGUCCCAUUUGAUUCUUGCAACAAAUCAAGGGUCCACAGAAGCCAUGGGAGUCUGGUGGUGGACCAGAGCUGGACGAGGACACAGCGCAAGAGAAAGCAAAUGGCCCCUCAGCCAUGACUACCUGCACUCUCAUCUCUGCUUUUGACAUCCCAGAGCAUUGUUGUGCUGUGGGUCAUUUUGCCCUCCCAGACUUGGGAAGGGGAUCCUUCUCAUGCUGUAACGUAAUCCAAGCCUGGAUACGAAAUAAACUAAGCACACUGUUGUGAGAAUUA